rnacentral:rRNA from 1 species
UACGUAGGGGGCAAGCGUUGUCCGGAAUCAUUGGGCGUAAAGAGCGUGUAGGCGGCCAGAAAAGUCCGCUGUGAAAACUCGAGGCUCAACUUCGAGCUGUCGGUGGAAACUUUCUGGCUAGAGUCCGGAAGAGGAAAAUGGAAUUCCUGGUGUAGCGGUGGAAUGCGCAGAUAUCAGGAGGAACACCGGUGGCGAAGGCGGGAUCCUGGGCCAGUACUGACGCUGAGGAGCGAAAGCGUGGGGAGCAAACAGG